rnacentral:lncRNA from 1 species
UGUUUUUGUGUUUUGUGUUUUGGUUUUUCGAGACAGGGUUUCUUUGUGUAACCCUGGUUGUCCUGGAACUUUCUUGGUAGACCAGGCUGCCUUGAACUCACAGAGAUCCUCCUGCCUCUGCCAUCUGAGUGCUGGGACUAAAGGCAUGUUCAGUGGAUGUUUUGAGGUCAGGUCCCAAGCUCAGGGCUGGGACCCUCAGUAGAGAACCAGACAGAAACUGUGCAAUACCUGGACACUGGCCAUAGGGUCCCUGGAGGUGGCGAAGCCCCAGCUCACUCCCCAGUCAUAACCAGCACACCAAACCAACCGACAUCAGUGAUUUCACCUGCUCUGGGGAUUCCUGGACCUUCACCCGGGAGUCGCCACCUGGCCCAAGGGAGAUUCCAGUCCUCCCCAGUGCCAGCGACAUGCCCUUCUGUGGUCUGGAACCUGCUGGGUCUCGGGAAUAAUUCUCAUUAUUGAAGAUGGGGAUUUGUCUGUAGCUUCGGAGCCUGUCCUGGAAAUUGCUCUGUAGAUCAGCCUGGUCUCGAACACAGAGAUCCAACUGCCCCUGCUUCUGGAGUACUGGAAUUAAAGAUGUGUGCCACUAUCGCCUGCCUGGCUUUCAACUGUCUUGAAAGCUCUGUUUCUCUGAAUUUCUUAAAUUUAUUUCUGUGCGCGCAGAAGUUAGUUCCUCUUUCGGCCAUGUGCGUUCUAGGGUUUGAACUCGGGUCAAGUUUGGCGACAAGCCCCUUUACCUGCUGAGCUGUCUUGCUCACUCAGUGCCUGUGUCUGCGUUCCCCCACGGCUGGCCGACUCUCCUUCUGGCAGUCCACCUCGCCCUCUAGUGGCCUCAGAGGGAACCGUAACACCGGGAUCUAUGGACGUUGUAACCUGUGUGAACCAAGUCUGGC